rnacentral:rRNA from 1 species
CAAAGGUUUGGUCCUGACUUUUCUAUCAGCUUUAGCUAGGCUUACACAUGCAAGUAUCCGCCCCCCCGUGAGAAUGCCCUACAGUCCCCCUACCCGGGGGCAAGGAGCUGGUAUCAGGCACAAUCCCACAGAUACUGCCCACGACACCUUGCUUAGCCACACCCCCAAGGGAUGCCAGCAGUGAUAAACAUUAAGCCAUGAGUGAAAACUUGACUUAGCCACAGCUACUAGGGCCGGUAAAACUCGUGCCAGCCACCGCGGUUAUACGAGAGGCCCAAGUUGAUAGACGCCGGCGCAAAGAGUGGUUAGGUAACCUGACAAACUAAAGCCGAACGCCCCCAAGACUGUUAUACGUGCUCGGAGGUAUGAAGCCCAACUACGAAAGUGGCUUUAACUAUGUCUGAACCCACGAAAGCUGUGAAACA